rnacentral:rRNA from 1 species
UACUGAGACACGAACAGACUCUACGGAAGCAGCAGUGAGAAUAAUGACAAUGGCGCAAGCUGAUCCAGCCAUGCGCGUGCAUGAUGACGGUCCUAUGGAUGUAAACUGCUUUAUACGAGAGAAACACUGCUUCGUGAAGCAGCUUGACGGUAUCGUAAGAAUAAGGAUCGGCUAACUCCGUGCCAGCAGCCGCGGUAAUACGGAGGAUCCAAGCGUUAUCCGGAAUCAUUGGGUUUAAAGGGUCCGUAGGCGGUUUAAUAAGUCAGUGGUGAAAGCCCAUCGCUCAACGGUGGAACGGCCAUUGAUACUGUUAAACUUGAAUUAUUAGGAAGUAACUAGAAUAUGUAGUGUAGCGGUGAAAUGCUUAGAGAUUACAUGGAAUACCAAUUGCGAAGGCAGGUUACUACUAAUGGAUUGACGCUGAUGGACGAAAGCGUGGGUAGCGAACAGGAUUAGAUACCCUGGUAGUCCACGCCGUAAACGAUGGAUACUAGCUGUUGGAAGCAAUUUCAGUGGCUAAGCGAAAGUGAUAAGUAUCCCACCUGGGGAGUACGUUCGCAAGAAUGAAACUCAAAGGAAUUGACGGGGGCCCGCACAAGCGGUGGAGCAUGUGGUUUAAUUCGAUGAUACGCGAGGAACCUUACCAAGGCUUAAAUGUAGUUUGACCGGUUUGGAAACAGAUCUUUCGCAAGACAAAUUACAAGGUGCUGCAUGGUUGUCGUCAGCUCGUGCCGUGAGGUGUCAGGUUAAGUCCUAUAACGAGCGCAACCCCUGUUGUUAGUUGCCAGCGAGUCAUGUCGGGAACUCUAACAAGACUGCCAGUGCAAACUGUGAGGAAGG